rnacentral:tRNA from 1 species
GCGGAAGUGGCGGAAUUGGUAUACGCGCUACCUUGAGGUGGUAGUGGAGGUAACUCCUUGGGGGUUCGAGUCCCCCCUUUCGCA